rnacentral:rRNA from 1 species
GUCUACGGCCAUGCUACCCUGAACGAGCCCAAUCCAGUCUGAUCUCGGAAGCUAAGCAGAGCCAGGCCUGGUUAGUACUUGAAUGGGAGACCACCUAGGAAGACCAGGUGCUGUGUAGG